UCGUGGCUUUCUAUUUCUUACUGCCUGUUUCUCUCCCACUUCUUAACGUCUCGAUUUGUAGGUAACAAAAGAAUUUGUAGAUAAUAAAAGACAUAGGAAGGACGGGGCAAAUCUACCUAAAGAAAGUAUACUUUCUUUACAUAUAUAUCGCCAAUUAUUCAUGUAAGAGAAGUCAUUGGUUAUCUCCCUUUCUUCUAUCUUUGAUACGGCAACGGAUAUGUCGCGGAUGCACUAGCAAGUAACUUGCAACAUUUCUUGCAAGAGAAACUUUUGUGACAUGUGUAACAAAAUAUGCGUAAACAUAUCUUAAAUAAUAACUGUUAUUUCUAACUUCCAACGAUGUCCAAAAUAUUUUAUGAGAAGUCGUGCGCUAAAGAUAAUGGAAAAAAAGAGUUGAGCGAAGGAAGGGAUACUUAGAUAGAUUUCAUGAUGGAUAUAUUUUUCCGAAUUUUGGGAAAUGAAAAGCAAAAAUUAUCGGAGUAUAAUACAAAAACGGAAUGUCUUACAUAAUCUUUCGAGUGAAUUUUAUAUCAGUGAAAAUGUAAUUACACAAUUUACAUACACAUUUCUAUCAGGAAUUGAGAAAAAUAUAAGUAAAAUAUAGCGAUAAUAAGAUAGAUGAUGUAUAUUCGAAUAAUCGAAAUUAUUUCUAUGCCGUAAUGUUUGUUCAUGAAAAAGACUCAGAUAAAAGAACUCUAACAAUUUGUUACGACAGGACUUUCCGCUGGAUUGUAUCUCUGUACAGCAUACUUCCAAAGGACUUGCGCGUAAACUGUGCAUGACGCUAUUUACUAUGACAUUAAAUCGGAGUAGAGUUAUAAAGGAAUAAAUUAUAAUUUACUUAUACAUUUUUAUGUAAAAAGUUUGAAAUAUACUUUAUUAAUUAAUAGUAUAAUUAUAUAUGAUAAAACAAGGAACGACGCAGAGUCACAUAUCACAAUCUUUACAUUCGUACCGUGAUCUUCUCCUUAUAUUAUUUUAUGAGCACCUUACAGAGUUU